rnacentral:ncRNA from 1 species
UUUCUCAGGGCGGGGCGUAAUUCCCCACCGGCGGUAUAGCCCGCGAGCUUCUAAGCAUGACCCGGUGCAAUUCCGGAGCCGACGGUAUAGUCCGGAUAGGAGAGAAUU